AAUAUAAUUAUUAUUAUGAUCUAACAUAGAUUGUUAAUAUUUAAUUAUUUAUGGAAUUAUUUAUUAUAACUGCAUUAUUAUAAUUUAUUACAAUAUUACAUGUAGAAAAUAAUAAAUUUUGUUUUAUUAACAAGUAUAUUUUCUAUUUUUUAUUCUAUUAUUUAAAAAAAUUGAAUAUUAUUAAACAAUAUUAAUAAAAUAUUGCUUUUCCCGCGCGAUUUAGAGUGGAAGAAAAGUUAUUUUCUUCGUCAUUAUUAUUAUUUUCGACGUCAACCAAUCAGAAAAUUACUUGACAUACUAUUACGCGGGAAGUCAUUCUACUGUCGAAAAUCAUGGCGAUAGAAUGUGUCAUCCCGCUGAGGUAUAUGACUUCGAUUAUCAGCAUCGUAUUUUCAUUCCUAACUUUUCCAGUUUAUAGAUUAUUGUAUUGUAUAAUUGAUCGUGAAGAUGAGAAAAAGAAACUGAGAAAGGAUAAAGGUGUUUCGAACGAUAUUCAAUGACGAAUUCGAUAAUUUUUCGUGCAGAGCUGCCAACGUUUAACUUAUUCUAAUAAAGCAUUGUUGUGAUCGCGUGCAAUGCGAUCAUUAAAAUCAGUGUUUGUUGCGUAAUAGUAUUUUUAAUUUUUUUUUAAAUAUAACUCUUCUAUCAAUUAUAUGUUCAUUAUAAUAGUAAAAAUUAAAAGCACGCGAAAUUAGAAUCAGUGAUUGUUCGUUAAAAAUAAUUCGAACGCGUUAAUAGUCUUUUAUUUAUUCAUUUCUUUUUUUUUUUAAAUAUUCGUUUUCGGUAAUAAAAUCAGUGUUUCCCUCAAGAGAAUCCAGAAAUCAUGACUUCAGAUCAAUCAAAAAUUUUUCUAUAACAUUUGAUGGUUACUAGUAACAUUGAUGAUAGGAGUAUCUAUAAUAAUAUUCUUCGCAUCUAAUGGGAAAGAAAGUAAUCUCGACAAGCGAAAAAGCAGCGGAAAAGAAAAUGUUGGAUACGAAGGAGGCGAGAAGGUGGUAGAAGUAGGACGAAGAGGGGAGCACACUGCGCUAUAUCAAUUGUAAUUGACGUUAAACCCGUUGGAGUCGUCGACGACCUUUCACCGGCGAUGCGCCAUAUCUGCGGUUAUCGUCUUCCGUGUUUCUUCCCGCAUUCGAGCUGCUUUUCCUCAAACCUACCAUCGUCCAAAGGGGAGAGGAACGACGACGACGACGACGUCCGCGUCUUGGACGCCCGAGGACGAUGGAUAUCGAUCCUUUCGUCGCUUACUUCUCGACACCUUGAUCGCAGAUUGGAUCUCAUUACGGGGAGGAUUCGAUAAAAAUCGCCCCGACUCUCGAGAUCUCUAUCUCGCGAGCCUCGCUCUCACGUCGUUCGGAGAGAAACGAAGGGGAAACGAUGGAUUAAAUCGCGAGGGAGUUCGCGAACUGGGUUCGAAAAUUGAGAAGAUUAAAUGUGGAAACUGUUGAUUGGACAGGUAUUUCGAAAACGCCUUUCAAGCGAAGCCGAUCUAUUAUCGGGCAAUUCGCAUUAAAAUUACGGGCCAACUAAGAAAAUUUCAUCAAACGCAAACCAUAAAAGAUCCCGCAUGCUCCAUAUAAGCUACGCUCGUUAUCGGUAUAAGCCACGUAAGCAGCGCGUUUGAAAACCGACGCGGUCGAAUUUUACGACCCUGCACGUCCAACAUAUUUGACAGCCGGUUGUCGUUAGAGAGUUUCAUUGCCGCGAUUGUGAAAUCAAUCGGCUCGUAUGCAUAAUUGGAGCCUGGCGAGGAAACGAAACGAAAUUUCAUACCGAACCCGAGCUCUACCGAGGGGGAACGGUUUCGCGUCGCCGUCUAUGGGCAAGAGCGCGUUUUCCUCCGUCUGAUUCGCGCCAGGCCCUCCCCCCGUUGGAUCCAGAACGCGAUCCAACUUCUCGAUAAUCUAUCAAAUGGCAUUUCAGCCACGUGUGCGUCUCUCUCCAACGAUCGUCAAUUCCGAAUACGCAGUUCCGAGCGAAAUCCGAUAAAUUAUUUAUCAGCGCAUUAAUCUACGUAUUUCAUAUCGUUGUACGAUUUUUAUUUAUCCAUCGUAAAUUGGAAGGGAACGAAUUGGUUUUGGUAACUCUCUCGAGAAUUUUUCAACAGGAUCGAUGAAAGCAAGCGAAUAGUGAGAAAUACUGUAGAAAAUUGUAUACGUUUAAAUUUCGAGUCGAGCUAAUUUUCGUCCGAUAAAGUUGGAAAGUUGGAGAAUUUUUCUCGAUACGGGACAAAGCCGGAAGGCGAAUCCCAUCGCGACGCAAAGGCGACGCGGCGCAGCGUUUACUUUGUCGGCGCGAUAACCAUUGGCCAUUGAAUUUAUUCCAGGAAGGAUAACUCGAACUUAGAACGGAAGGAGCCCGCCGAUAAGAUCUGGCCGGCAUCGGGCCAAAGUAGCCCUAUCCGCGGCACCGCGAUAACAGAUACGAGCCGCAGAUAGGCAACGCCGGGUGACAAAUAGCGCGUGCUGUUACGUGCAACCCGAGUUGCUGCCGCGCUUUUUUUCCCCUAUCUAGAUAGCGAUUCUCCACUGUCCUGUCUCGAUGAUAAACGUCGCACAACUCCGGCCGCGAUCCCCCCCUCCGUUUCUGCCGCGGUUUCGCGCGUUGGGAGGUUUCUGCUCGGGGAUAUGAGACGAUAAUUAGAAGAAGGGGAAACGCUCCUAAUUCUUUCCCGCCAUUACUUAAUCUUGGAACGAUUGCAGGAUACAUAUAUGUCGUAAGAGUAUUUUGAUAAUUUGAUGUUACGCAGUUUUAGUUUUAUUUGUAAUUUUUUGGUUAUAACGUUAAAUUGAUGUGCGUUUAAUCUUUAAGGAUAUGUAAUUAACGUUUGUGAAUUUGAAAGUUUUGUACUUCUUUCAACGAAUUCUUCUCUUAUACUUUUAUGUCAGAAUAUUUGUAUAUAGGUUCUUUUAUUUUUCAAACAAAAAUUCGUCAAAUUCGUUAUACAAAUCCUACUGUGUUCCCUCUUUUCGAUUUUAUAAAUUUUAUAAAUUUUUAAAUAAGCAAAUUUAAAGAGAGCCGAUAAAUUAGGUAACGAUUUUAGAAAAUUUUAAUCAGCGCCAUCUCGCGUUUGGAUCGCCGAAGCUCCGACUUGUUACUAGCGUAGCAGAAUAUGCAAGGAGGUAUGCGAACUCAAAGACAAGGAAAGCAAUAUUGUGCGAGAAGGAUAGAGAGUUUUUCCGCCAUUUUAUGGAAAAUUAUACGCUUUCUAUGGAAAAUAUUGACACUUUCAAGAUCACAAUUUAAAGUUAGAAUUUCCAACAAGUUUCUAGUAUCAAUUUUAACACGAAAUUCUUAAUUAAUUGGUUAAUUAUUAACGAUUAAUGCGUGAUUCUGAUAAAUUAAGGACGCCAUAUUGAAAAUUUAUUAUUUAUUUAUUUCUUACGCAAAAUUUCGAUACUUUCAAGAUCGCAUUUUAUAGUUAGGGUUUCAGGCAAGUUUCUCGUAUCAAUUUUAACGUGAAAUUCGUCUUAAUUAAUUAAUUAUUAAUGAUUAAUACUUAUAUUUAAUAUUUUAAAAACAUCGUAUUGAAAAUUCAUUAAUUAUUCGUUUUCUACGCAAAAUUUCAGCAUUUUCAAGAUAAUGAUAAUUUAAAAGUGCUAAAGUUUUGCAUAGAAAUAAUUAAUAAAUGCAUACGAAUAAUUAAUAAUUUUUCAAUAUGGCGUCCUCGAUGUAGUCAGAGAUGCUUUCUGUUCUUCUCGCACAAUGUUGCUUUCUUUAUCUUUGAGUUCGCAUACCUCCUCGCAUAUUCUGUUAUGCUAGUAACAAAUCGAAGCUUCGGUGAUCCAAACGCGAGAUGGCAGUGAUCAAAAUUUUAUGAUAGUCACCUAACUUAUCAACAAAAUUUAUUCAUUUAAAAAUCAAUAACACGAGAAAGAGUAUAAAAUGUAUAGAUUAAACUACAAUAUAAGAAUUAUUUGAAUGGAAAUCGUAUCACAGUGUAAAGAGGAAUAAUAAAAAAAAGAAUGAAGAUUUAUA